rnacentral:rRNA from 1 species
UACGGGGGGGGCAAGCGUUGUUCGGAAUUACUGGGCGUAAAGGGCGCGUAGGCGGCCUGCUAAGUCGAACGUGAAAUCCCUGGGCUCAACCCAGGAACUGCGUCCGAUACUGGUUGGCUUGAAUCCGGGAGAGGGACGUGGAAUUCCAGGUGUAGCGGUGAAAUGCGUAGAUAUCUGGAGGAACACCGGUGGCGAAGGCGACGUCCUGGACCGGCAUUGACGCUGAGGAGCGAAAGCCAGGGGAGCAAACGGG